GAAUGUAAGAGAGAAAUAUAGGCAUGGAUAAGACCAAGGAGACAUUUAAAUUAGCAGAUACUCCAGAUGUGAUGUCACGGGUCCAUCAGCCAACAGCCAAAUCACAUUUAAAUGCAAGUUUAUAAGAGGGAGCUGAACCACUGUUAUUACACAUUAGGGGAUCUGAAAUCGUUGUUGGUUGAGCAAUUAGCAUUUCCCCCCGUUUUUUCUCUCGCUUGCAAUAAGUCUUGUGUGCGAGAAGGAUGCUGACUUCGCAUGUAAGUUUCGUAUGAAAUCAAUGAGUUUAUUGAGAUAGAAUGAGAGAGGGAGGGCAAUUUUAAACGAGAUGUUUGUGUGAGAGAUGAUGACACAUUUAACAGUGCAAAUCCCAUGCUAACAUAAUUAAUUAGUAGGCUGUUAGUGUCCAAACAAAUGACUUCCAUACUGUUUUAUUAGUACUUUCUACAGCAAAUGUAAACUACUCGGUGACAUUUCACUAGAUUAGGCUAUAGGCUGUUGUAACUUUAUUCUUAUUAUUAAACUAGAAUUUAUUCUUUAAUAACCAUACAAAACUGAUAUCCUACAUUUAUGCAUAUGAUGUGGACCUUGGGAACCAUCGAGCACCUCUGUCAAGCCGCGCAUACUCACCAGGCAUGUAUGUAACUGAAGAGAAUUCAUGACUUGACAGGUUGACUUGGGAUUUCUGGAGAGAGAGAGAGAGAGAGAGAGAGAGAUAGAGAGAGAGAGAGAGAGACUUACAUUCAAUUAAAGUGGCCGUGCUUAGGCUACACACUAACAAUAUUUUAAAGGAAAUGAUUGGAGAGGCUUUAAAUAACCUACAUGUUCAUACUUCAUGCAAAUAAGUGGUGUUGCAUACAUCUCAUACAUGUAAAGUAGAGAUAAACACGGAAUUGAUUAAUCUCUUACCGCAACUGUUUUAAUCGCUUCUUGGCGAGCUCUCUGCUUUUGUAGCAGCUCCUUGACGGUGAUCUUAACUCUCACCCCUUGAUAGACCUUCUCUUUACCUGGAUGUACAAGCCAACAGGUUAUUCACUCCAUAUCAUGCAUAUUGUGCAUGUUAACAACUUACAAACAGUUCGGAUGUGAUCGAUUGUACAUUAGGCCAUAUAUCCAAACAUUUACAUUUACAUUUAGCCAUGUAACAGGGCAUUUUAUGCAAAACAUACAAAUAGACUUAAAAAUGUUACAAACACAUAAAAGUAUUCCCCAAAACAUUGUAUCCGAUGCAAGCUCCCCUUAACAACAUGUUAAACUUCAUUACUAAUUAUUCCUUAGCCUACAUUCUGACAAAAAAAUCGGUUUGUGGAAAACCUAGAACCUGGGUUAAUGUUCUUGGGUAGACUACCAGGCUACUUUGUCAAAAAUCUGAACCCAAUGUAAUUUAAAAUUAAAAUUAAUUUAUUCACAUGUAUUAGUUUGGAUGAAGACUGGGUGUCGGCUAUAGAGGCUACUCCAACACCACUUGGCAACGAGCAGGUUAGUAGACUACGGGAGAUUAGUAGACGACGCGAUUUUAAAAGAAAGAAUAUCUACAAAGCAAGGUAAAACUUUGAUAUAUUGUAGGGCACUAGUCUUGUGGGGCAGAAAUGUAAAUUGGGUCAGUCGAUAUGGAGCAUAUGAUAGAUACGAUUAAGGCAUAAAGUUACGAAAAGAGCAAUAAUGUUCUUUCUCGAAUGAAUGCAUCAACCCGCGAGUGUAGUCGUACUUACUUCCUGGUAUUAUUCCAAGCGGGUUGGAAAUCGGACGGGAUAAAAAUGGAUCUUUGCCACUUUGAUCGCAAGGUUUAAUUGCAUUCUAGACGUUUAGUCUUUGAAGUUGUUCGAGUGAAGAAAAAUAUAAAGACAUCAAAAUGAUGUCCAACUCACCAGACAUGAUGGUUAACAGAUGUUAAAAACUUGAUGAAGCUGCUCUGGGAAUCCUCCACGUAUUGUUCCUGGCAGACUUGUAUGGCCAAGAACGAAUUAUCCAUAAAAGUCUUAGAAAAUAUCUUAAGAGACAACUACAAGUCCUCUUAGACCAUACAACAAUAUAGUAAUAUACCUGGGGAUAUAUUAGUUUGAGUUUUUCUCGCCCCAUGCCUACUAUUUAAAACCCCUAGAACUCCAUGAUUUGACAAUGAUUUGAUUGCGCGAUACUUUCAAUUUGAAUAUUCAAAGGCUUCGCUUAAAAACUCAUAUUUUCAAUAUAUUUGCACCACAAAUGCAUAAAACAACACUUUCUGCAAUAGAAUAAUAUGUUUAUUCAAUUCUUGACUCAAAAUAACAAACCAAUUUUAAUCUUUUUAUCCUCCUUUUGAUUAAGGUAGUGUAACUCCCCUAGUUGGGCUAUAUUUCAUUAUUUCAUGAAUAUGCUUCCACGAAACAUCUAUCAAUCAUUUAUAUAGCGCUGCUAACAUCUUUACCUGUUGGAAACGACAUACAUUAGGGAUAUAACUUGCAUUUAUAAUGCAAUUUUAAGGACAAUUUGAUAAAAUAAUGGGGCUUGUGGGCGUGGCAUAAGGCAGCAGCCAUGUUUCUCAUCUCAGCUUCUCUAGCACUUUGUGCCUUACUCUGCAUCUCCCUGCACCAUGCCAUUAUACCCAUUUAUCAUAUCCAUAACCGUUUGCACAUAUUUUUCCAGCCUUUUUCAUAUUCCAGAAGGACGUGGUAAACCGUCAUACCAACCACAAACACAACUUCCCCAGGCCCCGGAACUGCCCUCUACACUAUCUGUGAAGUAAUUAAUAAAAGCCAAAUCUUUAAUGAGAA